rnacentral:misc_RNA from 1 species
GAUGAAGAACGCAGCGAAAUGCGAUAAGUAAUGUGAAUUGCAGAAUUCAGUGAAUCAUCGAAUCUUUGAACGCACAUUGCGCCCGCCAGUAUUCUGGCGGGCAUGCCUGUCCGAGCGUCAUUUCAACCCUCGAACCCCUCCGGGGGGUCGGCGUUGGGGACCUCGGGAGCCCCUAAGACGGGAUCCCGGCCCCGAAAUACAGUGGCGGUCUCGCCGCAGCCUCUCCUGCGCAGUAGUUUGCACAACUCGCACCGGGAGCGCGGCGCGUCCACGUCCGUAAAACACCCAACUUCUGAAAUGUUGACCUCGGAUCAGGUAGGAAUACCCGCUGAACUUAAGCAUAUCAAAAGGGAGGA